rnacentral:rRNA from 1 species
UACGAAGGGGGCUAGCGUUGUUCGGAAUUACUGGGCGUAAAGGGCGCGUAGGCGGUACUUCAAGUCAGGCGUGAAAGCCCCGGGCUCAACCUGGGAACCGCGCUUGAGACUGGAGAACUAGAGUUCGGGAGAGGAUGGUGGAAUUCCCAGUGUAGAGGUGAAAUUCGUAGAUAUUGGGAAGAACACCGGUGGCGAAGGCGGCGACCUGGUCCAUUACUGACGCUGAGGCGCGACAGCGUGGGGAGCAAACAGG